rnacentral:misc_RNA from 1 species
GAUGAAGAACGCAGCGAAAUGCGAUAAGUAAUGUGAAUUGCAGAAUUCAGUGAAUCAUCGAAUCUUUGAACGCACAUUGCGCCCAUUAGUAUUCUAGUGGGCAUGCCUGUUCGAGCGUCAUUUCAACCCUCAAGCUCUCUUGCUUGGUGUUGGGGCUUCUGCGGCUUCGGCCGCAGGCCCUGAAAAACAGUGGCGGGCUCGCUAUAACUCCGAGCGUAGUAAUCUCUCUCGCUUUGGAAGUGUGGCGGUUCCCGGCCGUUAAACCCCCCAAUUUCUGAAUGUUGACCUCGGAUCAGGUAGGAAUACCCGCUGAACUUAAGCAUAUCAAUAAGCGGAGGA